CCCGGCCAAGCCCUGGGACCGGAGGGCGCACCCUCCCAGCGCCCGAACCCGGGCAACUUCCCGCCGCCCGGGACGGAGUUUCUCCGUUGCCUACGGACAUCCGGGAGGCGUGUGGAGGGCAGGCGGGGUAACCCUCACUCCCACCCCACCUUUAUCCAGGGGGAGCCGGAGGAGCCAGCAGGUCCGGACUCGCUGAGGGGGCUCCACGCGGGGCCUCCCACGCACAGGAGGGCAGCCCAAGGAAAGCCCUUUUCAGAACCUGGUGCAGCAGCCUGUGUGGGAGGAGCAGGAGUGCGAGCAGGACGCUGCAGACCUCUUUCCACGCGCCAGCUCAUGUUAUGCUUGCUAGUCCCCGGAAGGACAUUGGCAAGGAAAAGAAAAGCGAGAGAUAAAACCCACCCUGAGCUCUGCCGUGGACCCGAGGCAGACAGCAUCCAUUCCAGCACACCUGCCAGGCUCACCCUUCUGGGACCUCCUCCCCUCCUCUGAGGCUGUGGCCUCUAGGGGGGACCUCCAGGUAAAGCAGGUAAGACCCAGGCCAGGCUGGCUGAAGAACUUAGGAAGCUUUGCGGACCUCAUGCGUAUGGACGCAGGAGACGGCUGUGUGACAUGGGAGGCUUAGCUGCCGCCUUUGAGGAGCAGCUGUUUAAGAUGGGCGGGAGAGGUUUAUUCAGGCUAAGUCUGCCUGGCGUGGGAACUCCUGCCUUCUCCAUAGGAGUCGCCUCUGCUGGAAGCAGAGUUCAAACAUGUCUGUCCUCAGAGGUCUCAAUGAGUGAUGGCAUCUUCUUCUCAGGGCUCUUGGUGUUUUAUGGCUCUGAGAGUCCCCCGUGGGUAGGAAUGCAGGUGUGACACUGGCUGGUGGAGGGGCUAUUUCAGCUGGGACUCCUCUGCCUGCAUGCUUCCUGGGGCUCCCAUCUCGCUCAUCUCCCCUUCGCUCUCUUUCCCUCCCUUCCUAGGUCCCCGCUCGGCCUCCCUGACCUGGUCACCAGGUGCACACUGAGCCCUGAAGGGCCAGCCCUCCUGCCACUGGGUGGCUGCUGUCUCCUUUGGAUCUUUUUGCGGUCUGGGCUUGCUGUUCCUCUCAACAGUAGUCAGGAAGCCCUUACCCCAAAAAGUAUCUGCGGGAGGCCUUGUCCACAGGGGACCCAGGGCUCCAGGUGAGUCGCACACAAACUCAAGACAGCGAGGGAAGCUGGCUCUCCUUUAGAGGUGCUGAGCGACUUUAGUCAAGCGCUGAGGCUCCGUGUGCCACUUUUAAUUAUUUACAGGUGGACAAUGUCUACUGGAAGACUCCCCAAGGUAAGAAAAAAAAGGAGUGGCUCAAUUUAAGGCCAGGGAAGACCACUGUGGGGGCCUCAGGUGGCUGGGCCCUCCCAGUAUUCAGUCCUCUGUAUGCAGAUGACCUCCCUUGGAGCUCCUUUUGGAGAAGGUCCCCCCCCCAUAGUGUGGACAGUCUGUGCUGGCUGGAUUGUCACUCAAGAUGUCCUGUCCUCCCACUGCCCACUGGGUGGACAUGAGACCUGAGGCAGGCCGGGGGAUUGGAGUCCUGUGCAGGAUACAAUAUCGGGAACAAAAUGACUGACACUGAUUGAUCCCAGCAGCCAUGCGAGGAGAAGAAUCCGAACUUCUGCUGCCUGUGUGACUGACCUGCCUGGUGCCUGCCCUUUUCUGGCCUGGACCUCCACCUGCCUCCUGCAUCCUGUGAACCACCCCUGAAUCCUUCAAAUAAAAUCCUUGGUUGCUUAAGUUCAGGAGUUGGUAUUCUUGCUUGCCUCGGGUACAGAGCCCUCUAGAGAGAGGAGGUGGGACUGCAUGCUGUGAAGCAGAGGGAGGGGCGCGCCUGGGGCAGCCCACAGGUGUCAGUCCCCAGGGGGCAGGUGACAGAGCCCAGGGCAAGGGUCAUAGACAAGGCUGGGGUUAGGGCCUAAGCAAACUUCCCUAAAGAUGAGAACCGUGUCGGGUAAAGCACAGAAGAGGACCUAUGUAAUACGGAGAGAUUUGAAAUAGAGAAGUAAAUGGGCGCCCUGCUUCUAAAGAGAGCAGAGGAUGG